GCAAUUGACUGCCGAAGACAGCAGGUGCUGUAAAGCGUAAGUAUGAUGACGCCUGCCGAGGAAGACAAGAUUUCGAAUGAAGAUGAAAUUUGUAAACCUCUGUGUCUUUGGGCAUGGAGGUUUUUAUUUGCU
rnacentral:sRNA from 1 species